rnacentral:rRNA from 1 species
CUACGGGUUGCUCCAGUGAGGAAUAUUGGUCAAUGGGCGCAAGCCUGAACCAGCCAUGCCGCGUGAAGGAUGACGGCCCUAUGGGUUGUAAACUUCUUUUAUACGGGAAGAAACGCCUCUACGUGUAGAGGUUUGACGGUACCGUACGAAUAAGCAUCGGCUAACUCCGUGCCAGCAACCGCGGUAAUACGGAGGAUGCAAGCGUUAUCCGGAUUUAUUGGGUUUAAAGGGUACGUAGGCGGAAGAUUAAGUCAGUAGUGAAAUCCUGCAGCUUAACUGUAGAACUGUUAUUGAUACUGGUUUUCUUGAAUGUAGUUAAGGUAGGCGGAAUAAGUAAUGUAGCGGUGGAAUGCUUAGAUAUUACUUAGAACACCGAUUGCGAGGCAGCUUACUAAGCUAUGAUUGACGCUGAGGUACGAAAGCGUGGGGAGCGAACAGGAUUAGAUACCCUUGUAGUC